CAAGUAAGCUGGCUUACCGCCUUGGGUAACCCAGGGAGGAAAGUCCGGGCAACGCAGAGCACCCUACUUCCUAACAGGAAGGCGCCUGGUCUCAAAGCCAGGUGACAGCUAGUGCCACAGAAAAUAAACCGCUUUGCUUUAAGCAGAGUAAGGGUGAAAAGGUGGAGUAAGUGCCCACCGCUUGGCUGGUGACAGCGAAGGCACGGUAAACCUUAGGGGUUGAAAGGCCAAAUAAAUACUGCAUCUCUAUCAUAGGGUCACAGGUGGCUCGCUUGUGUUUCGCACAUUGAAAGGCAGUAUGGGUAGGCUGAUAGAGGCUGUGAGUGAUCACAGUCCCAGAUAAAUGGUAAGCAUGUUGGCCUUGUGCUAACAUACAGAACCCGGCUUAUAGGCUUGCUUGUUAU
rnacentral:RNase_P_RNA from 1 species